UUAUUGCCUUAUAAAAUUGGUUAGGCGACGGUUACGUUUCCGAUUACACCAAAGCUCGAUCUUCACGUGCCCCCCCUCUCUAUCUGGCGUUUCUGCUUUUUCUCUCAUUUCUCCGUCUCUGUUCCUUAAACUAAGAAAAAAAAUUUAUGAAAGCGUAAGAGAUUCUGUAUUUGGUAAGAGAGUGAGAAUAUUCAUAUAUAUAGAAAAAGAGGAGGAGCUGGGUUGGGUUUGAAAGAAGGACAGAAAUGGAGGGAAAGAAACAAACGGGGUCCUCGUCUUCUUCUUUCACUUCUGACUUGUUUGGCUCGAAGGAGAACUCACCGUCCUCUAUGGGGAUUUUUGGCUCUAUUUUUGCACCUGCUUCCCCCAAGGUCUUAGGGAGAGAGUCAUUGCGCUUCGAAGUGGCUGAGAAAAAGCAGGAUUCCGCAGAUGACGCCUGGAAUACCAAAUCUGGAACUCCAGCUUCAGAUUUGACUUCCAAAAUGAAUGAAGGUGAAAGUCAGAGCGUACCAAACAAAGAUAUGAGUUCCAUUUAUCAGGAGCAAAGAGUACAACCGUGUCAUCUUAGUUCAUCAAUCUAUUAUGGGGGUCAAGAUAUCUAUCAUCAUCCUCAGACUGCACAUACCUCAAGCAUUAACCCAAUGACUCUUCCUUGCAUGUUAAAGCCUGCUGUUAGGGGAUACAAAUGGAGGAACUUGCUAACAUGUUCUGUUUUCUCAUUAGUUCAAAAAGGAUGGACCUGAAGAUGACACAGGCAGUGCUUCAAGAGGAAAUUGGUGGCAGGGGGGCCUCUAUUACUAAGAUCUCACGAGCCAUGGCACAUAUAUAUAUUUAGGUAUAAAGGCAAGUUAUAGGGUAGUAGUUUAAUCUACCUUUUGUUAUAUGGAAUAGGAAAUAUCAGUCAGCGUGUAGCGCAAAGCUGAUUAUUGUAAAUUCACCAGCCAUGGAACAACACACAGACAUAUAUAUAUAUGACAAGGCUAUAUGGCGCUUUUUUUUUCUUUUGCUGUAAGGCAGAUGCAUGGUUUACUUGGUCUUUUUGCAAUAAAAGUACUUGGUUUAGAAGCUUUUUCUAGCAUCAAUCUACUGCUAGAAAAAUCUUAGUUAUGAAA